UACGAAGGGGGCUAGCGUUGUUCGGAAUCACUGGGCGUAAAGGGUGCGUAGGCGGGUCUUUAAGUCCGGGGUGAAAUCCUGGAGCUCAACUCCAGAACUGCCUUUGAUACUGAGGAUCUUGAGUUCGGGAGAGGUGAGUGGAACUGCGAGUGUAGAGGUGAAAUUCGUAGAUAUCUGGAGGAACACCGGUGGCGAAGGCGGCAUCCUGGACCGGCAUUGACGCUGAGGCGCGAAAGCCAGGGGAGCAAACGGG
rnacentral:rRNA from 1 species